CCCAACUGUCUCCUAAGCCUGUAGACGGCAUCCUGGGAAAAUUGGCAGAAGCCAGCAAAGGCUAAGAAUUCUUGCCAAAGUCCUCUCUCCCAGAUCUUUGAUGCCAGGAUGACAAAGGAAGAUUUUCUUGGAGAAUCCAAAUUCUUUGUCCUCUGCAGUACAGAAGUGAAUAGGAAAUAAUCCAUGCUGGCCAAGAAGGCAAAGAUGACAAAACAGAAGCCUAAUUCGUUCAGUAAACUGCAAGUGCUUCUCUUGUGUCAGCAAAUGACAGAGUCAAAACUCUAUUCCAGGUGAGUCUGAUCCCAAUGCCCAUGCAUUUAACCACUAUUAAUGGAUUAAAAGAGACUAUUACUCCAGAAAGCCAAAAGUGGAAAAGGGACGAAGGUGGGGAAAUGGAGAAGUGGGAAGUGGUGCUUCCCUUUCCUGAACUCAAACCAGUUAGACAGUUGUUAACCAAGAAGUGAAUUCUCUUGUAUGAUAUAAACGAAUGUAAUUCUCUUGUUAAAAAAGCAGGACUGGACAUAGAUACUUCUGGCAGGAUUGGUGUGAGUGUAUUUCCCAAAUGCACUCUUUUCAUUUAGUUGCUUGGUAGGCAAUUCCUGCUUUAGCUGCUGUGUUCUCCAAACCACAGAUGCACAUGUGUAGAUCUCCAUGAGUUUCUUGUGAAGUGCCUCUUCAGAGAUUUGAGACAAGGAGAUAAUCCCCCACCGUAAAAUGCACACACACACUCUUGACCCUGGGGAGUGGGAAGAACACAGAGCGUACCCACUUUGAAGAAUCCACCUCCCACCACCCAGCUUCUCCGACUUGAAUACCUUUAUU